ACAGGACAACGGCACCAGUGCGCUCACCACACACCAGCUACAGGUGGAGACUUGAAUCAGAAUGAGCUUUAUUGCCAGGUAUGUUUACACACAGAGGAAUUCGUUUUCAUGAUAAAAGCUCCUCAGUACAACAGACUUUCUCCUUUCAGAUGAAUCAGAUAAAAUCAAAUAAAGUGAGCGCAUCAAUAAUAAAAUGUGCCUCACACAGCUCUGAGGGGUGAAUAAAGCCCUCCUGUAGCGAAUCUAUGCCUUUAAAGAAAAAUAUUCAUAUUUAAAAAGUAUAAACAUUUUUAUCUUACUUCCUCUUGUCAUAUGUGCAAGCCAUUCCGGGGGUUGACGUAGGACGCAGCCGUUUUACAAAAACACAUUGAUUCGCUUCUGGACGCCUUUAUUCACCCCUCUGAGCCAUGUGAGGCACUUUUUUAUUACAGAUGUACAUGCUUUAUUUGACUACUUUUGGACUGUUGAACAAAAACAUCUGCCUACUUCAAUUAUAAUGCUUUUCGUUUUUGGGUGAACUAACCCUUUAAUAUCUUUGUUGCGGUAAACACAAAAUAUGUUUUGAAGAAUGUGGGGAACCAAACAUUAGCUGGUGCACAUUAGAUAGUAGGAAAAAAUUAUAUGAAAGUCUGUUCAACUGUUUGGUUAUACACAUUAUUCAAAAUAUAAUAACACCAUAAUAUUGUUUUCUGUGAAUUAGUGAAAAUGAUUGUAGCAUAAACUCUAGUAUACCACAUUCAGUUUUCAAACGUAUUGUGAACAAAUGUUCUGUGUGUGUAUCAUGGCCUUAUUUCAGUGACACAAACAGACAUUAACUUUGAAUGAAAAAAAAUACCAACCUCUUUGUUCCUCCUGUUUUAUUCUCCAGGUUUCUGGUUCCUCGUGUUUUAUUCUCAAGGUUUCUGGUUCCUCGUAUUUUAUUCUCCAGGUUUCUGGUUCCUCGUGUUUUAUUAUUAUAGUUUCUGGUUCCUCGUGUUUUAUUCUCCAAGUUUCUGGUUCCUGUUUUAUUAUUAUAGUUUCUGGUUCCUCGUGUUUUAUUCUCCAGGUUUCUGGUUCCUCUUGUUUUAUUCUCCAGGUUUCUGGUUCCUCAUAUUUUAUUCUCCAGGUUUCUGGUUCCUCUUGUUUUAUUAUCCAGGUUUCUGGUUCCUCAUAUUUUAUUCUCCAGGUUUCUGAUUCCUCUUGUUUUAUUAUCC